rnacentral:rRNA from 1 species
UACGUAGGGGGCAAGCGUUGUCCGGAUUUAUUGGGCGUAAAGAGCGUGUAGGCGGCCAGGUAGGUCCGCUGUGAAAACUCGAGGCUCAACCUCGAGAUGUCGGCGGAAACCAUCUGGCUAGAGUCCGGAAGAGGAGAGUGGAAUUCCUGGUGUAGCGGUGAAAUGCGCAGAUAUCAGGAAGAACACCCGUGGCGAAAGCGGCUCUCUGGGACGGUACUGACGCUGAGACGCGAAAGCGUGGGGAGCAAACAGG